AGCACAAGAUGAACCCCCUUCAAGUCUCACUAAAUUAAGCAAAUUGAGGCUCUAAUCAAGACAAUUACUCUUGCAUGUUGGUAGAUUUUGGAUCAUCUAAGCUUAAUACACCAUAAGGGAUCAAACAAGAAAGCUCGAGUCACUCCGGAUCACAUACAAACAACGACAAAGGUAAAGCGACUUGUUAAAUGGCGUUACUUGGAUCGAACACAUUCAUGAUGCACGCUUCCGUGAAGAAACUAGUUUUAGUCAAAAUUUUUGUUAAAUGCUUUCCUUUUUGUUCCAAACGGGUCUUUUGUAAGUUUUAUGAUCCGAAAGUAGUAGAUGUUGAACUUGUAGUUAAAAGACUAUGUUAGUAGUUUAGGUAAGUUUGGGUUAAAAACUUUUGUAACCGUUAUGUUGAUCGUUACCAAGUUAAAUGCAGAAUUUUGGUU